rnacentral:rRNA from 1 species
GACGAAUGCUGGCGGCGUGCUUAACACAUGCAAGUCGAACGGAAAGGCCCUGCUUUUGUGGGGUGCUCGAGUGGCGAACGGGUGAGUAACACGUGAGUAACCUGCCCUUGACUUUGGGAUAACUUCAGGAAACUGGGGCUAAUAACGGAUAGGAGCUCCUGCUGCAUGGUGGGGGUUGGAAAGUUUCGGCGGUUGGGGAUGGACUCGCGGCUUAUCAGCUUGUUGGUGGGGUAGUGGCUUACCAAGGCUUUGACGGGUAGCCGGCCUGAGAGGGUGACCGGCCACAUUGGGACUGAGAUACGGCCCAGACUCCUACGGGAGGCAGCAGUGGGGAAUAUUGCACAAUGGGCGGAAGCCUGAUGCAGCAACGCCGCGUGCGGGAUGACGGCCUUCGGGUUGUAAACCGCUUUCGCCUGUGACGAAGCGUGAGUGACGGUAAUGGGUAAAGAAGCACCGGCUAACUACGUG